rnacentral:rRNA from 1 species
UGGGGAAUCAUGGUCAAUGGGCGAAAGCCUGAACCUGCGACGCCGCGUGAGUGAUGAAGGUCGUAAGAUCGUAAAACUCUUUUCAGGGAUCUUAAAGCCUGUCUGUCAACAACAGGCAGGUCUGACUCUCCCUGGAAGAAGCCCCAGCCAACUACGUGCCAGCAGCUGCGGUAAUACGUAGGGGGCGAGCGUUAUUCGGAAUUACUGGGUGUAAAGGGUAUGUAGGCGGCCCUUCAAGUAGCGUGUCAAAGUCCAGUGCUCAACGCUGGGUGUGCGCGCGAUACUGACGGGCUUGAGGGCUGGAGAGGUGAGCGGAAUUCCCGGUGUAGUGGUAAAAUACGUAGAGAUCGGGAGGAACACCAGCGGCGCAGGCGGCUCACUAGACAGUUUCUGACGCUAAGAUACGAAAGCGUGGGGAGCAAACA